rnacentral:rRNA from 1 species
GGAAGUAAAAGUCGUAACAAGGUCUCCGUAGGUGAGCCUGCGGAGGGAUCAUUACAAGUGACCCCGGUCUAACCACCGGGAUGUUCAUAACCCUUUGUUGUCCGACUCUGUUGCCUCCGGGGCGACCCUGCCUUCGGGCGGGGGCUCCGGGUGGACACUUCAAACUCUUGCGUAACUUUGCAGUCUGAGUAAACUUAAUUAAUAAAUUAAAACUUUUAACAACGGAUCUCUUGGUUCUGGCAUCGAUGAAGAACGCAGCGAAAUGCGAUAAGUAAUGUGAAUUGCAGAAUUCAGUGAAUCAUCGAAUCUUUGAACGCACAUUGCGCCCCCUGGUAUUCCGGGGGGCAUGCCUGUUCGAGCGUCAUUUCACCACUCAAGCCUCGCUUGGUAUUGGGCAACGCGGUCCGCCGCGUGCCUCAAAUCGACCGGCUGGGUCUUCUGUCCCCUAAGCGUUGUGGAAACUAUUCGCUAAAGGGUGCUCGGGAGGCUACGCCGUAAAACAAACCCAUUUCUAAGGUUGACCUCGGAUCAGGUAGGGAUACCCGCUGAACUUAAGCAUAUCAAUAAGCGGAGGA